GUUUCUUAUUUUAUGUCGUGUUUGCAAUCAAUGCUUAUUGCUUUAAUAACCACAAAAUGUUGUUUUAUAUGUUAAGCGAUGCUUCUGUGCUCGGUGUGGGAGGCAGGGGCCGUCUCCAGAUGCCCCGUGACUCACCACGAAGGAGGGAAAACCUCUUUGCGGCUCCGUUGGGCUGGGCGCGGGGCUGGGGGUCUCGCACGGCCGAGCUCAGGGCCCCGCGGCUCUGUGACUCCUGCUAAUCGCCUGCAUUUCACGGAAAGUGGGGCUCAGAGAGGUCAGGCGGCCUGACCGGCCACAGGCUCAGGGGCUGGCACGGGGAGGAGGGGCCUGUAUGCAGCCUGGUGAGUGAAGGCGGCAUGGCCUUUCCUGGCAGGAGGCGGUUGGUCAUCCGAACCGGAGACUUCGGGACGGGCCCGAGAGGGGUGGCUGGGGAGCUGAUGGCCGGGUGUGCGGGGUCCGUGGGAAGAAGACGGGGAAACUGCUGGGCCCGCGAGUCCGGGGGGAAGAUGGGGGUGGAGGCCUGGCCCUGGGACGUGUGGGUGGAUGGGAACGAGCUCAGAGUCCCCGAGACGGGUCACCCGCACCCCGGGCCUAAGCUUCUCCAGCAGGAAACUAGGUGUCAGACCCGCCAGACCUCCCUCCCGGGGCCGCAGUCAGGCCCAAGGAGUGCGGCGGGCGGCGGGGGGGCUGUGAGCAGACGAGAGGGACCGUCUGGGGCGUGGGGCCCGCAGGGCGCCGUGCUCGGGUCUGUGAUCAGCGCUGCCCGAUCCGCCAAGUGGAUCAGUGCGUGUGGAUCACCCCACCCCUCACGACGCUGCGGGGGAAGCAGAUGCUGUGGCCGCAGAUGGUGCACAAGGAGGAAACUAGGCCCAGAGAGGUCGGGAGCCUGGCCUGAAGCCACACAGCGUGACGGGGAGCUAGUCAGGAAGCCGUACUCGGAGGGCAGUCUUAGAUUUACAGGGAAAGUUCCGAGACAGUGGCGCCCACCCCCCGCCCAGUGUCUGCUGUCACUCCCGGUGACGCUCGGCGAUGCGAUGUUACCACGGACGCGUCAGGACUGACCCAUCAUGAUCACUGGACUCCACGCUCUGUUCCCGUCCCCCCAGGUCCCCCCAUCUUUCCUCGGCUCCGGGCCCAGGCUGCCCCCAGCCGCGACGGUUUCCCCCGAGUGCCUGGCUGUCUGUGACCUUGAGGAAGGCCGAGGCGUUGCGGGAUCUGUGAUGUUUGUCUCACGACCAGACUGGGGUUGGGUUUCCCGGGGAAAGAGCACGCAGGGACCCGCCAUCCCCGUGGCCUUACACCCAGAGCCCACGUGUGAGGAUAAAAAUAAACGGAGCCACGGUCCAACGGAGCCGGAGCCGCCGCCCGGGGAGCGGCCCCUGACCUCGGGACGGACCGAAACAGGACAAACAACCUCCGGGCGGGGCCUGAAGCAAUGCUGCGCCCCUUGUUUGCCAGGAGAACGAGAAAGCAGAGGCUCCGCUACGGACCGAGGCCCCCGGGCUGGGAAUGAAACAGCCCUCUAGGGCAGCUGUUCUCAACCUUCCUAAUGCCGCGACCCUUUAAUACGGUUCCUCAUGUUGUGGUGA